GCAUAUCAAUAAGCGGAGGAAAAGAAACCAACAGGGAUUACCUCAGUAACGGCGAGUGAAGCGGUAACAGCUCAAAUUUGAAAUCUGGCUCUUUUAGGGUCCGAGUUGUAAUUUGUAGAAGAUGCUUUGGGCGUGGCUCCGGUCUAAGUUCCUUGGAACAGGACGUCACAGAGGGUGAGAAUCCCGUACGUGACUGGUUGCCUUCGUCCGUGUGAAGCUCUUUCGACGAGUCGAGUUGUUUGGGAAUGCAGCUCAAAAUGGGUGGUAUAUUUCAUCUAAAGCUAAAUAUUGGCCAGAGACCGAUAGCGCACAAGUAGAGUGAUCGAAAGAUGAAAAGCACUUUGGAAAGAGAGUUAAACAGUACGUGAAAUUGUUGAAAGGGAAGCGCUUGCAACCAGACUUGCACGUAGUUGAUCAUCCGAGGUUUUCCCCGGUGCACUCGAUUGCGUUCAGGCCAGCAUCGGUUUGGGUGGUUGGAUAAAGGCCUUGGGAAUGUAGCUCCUCUCGGGGAGUGUUAUAGCCCUCGGUGCAAUGCAGCCUAUCCGGACCGAGGACCGCGCUUCGGCUAGGAUGCUGGCGUAAUGGUUGUAAGCGACCCGUCUUGAAACACGGACCAAGGAGUCUAACAUCUAUGCGAGUGUUUGGGUGUCAAACCCAUACGCGUAAUGAAAGUGAAUGUAGGUGAGAACGCUUAAGCGUGCAUCAUCGACCGAUCUUGAUGUCUUCGGAUGGAUUUGAGUAAGAGCAUAGCUGUUGGGACCCGAAAGAUGGUGAACUAUGCCUGAAUAGGGUGAAGCCAGAGGAAACUCUGGUGGAGGCUCGCAGCGGUUCUGACGUGCAAAUCGAUCGUCAAAUUUGGGGUAUAGGGGCGAAAGACUAAUCGAACCAUCUAGUAGCUGGUUCCUGCCGA
rnacentral:rRNA from 1 species